rfam:Fusarium oxysporum f. sp. cubense race 4 unplaced genomic scaffold scaffold166, whole genome shotgun sequence.
GGGCGAAUGGUUUAGUGGUAUAAUACUCCCUUAGCAUGAUUCAUCAGAAUAAUCUGGGAGUGGUCCAGGGUUCGAUUCCCUGUUCGUCCA